rnacentral:miRNA from 1 species
GUCAUUUUAAAUGUCCGUCUUCAGGCGACAACUGUUGUUAACGUUAUUUUCAAUUUUUUUUAAUAUAACGUUAAUUAACAACAGUUGUCGCCUGAAUACGGACAUUUAAAGGGUAU